CGGAGGGUGCAAGCGUUAUCCGGAAUCAUUGGGUUUAAAGGGUCCGCAGGCGGUCUUAUAAGUCAGUGGUGAAAGCCUACAGCUUAACUGUAGAACUGCCAUUGAUACUGUAAGACUUGAAUUCGGUCGAAGUGGGCGGAAUGUGACAUGUAGCGGUGAAAUGCUUAGAUAUGUCACAGAACACCGAUAGCGAAGGCAGCUCACUAGGCCUGGAUUGACGCUCAUGGACGAAAGCGUGGGGAGCAAACAGGAUUAGAUACCCUGGUAGUCCACGCCGUAAACUAUGAUUACUCGUUUUCGGCGAUAUACAGUCGGAGACUAAGCGAAAGCGAUAAGUAAUCCACCUGGGGAGUACGAUCGCAAGGUUG
rnacentral:rRNA from 1 species